AUUGUGAAUGGUUUCAGAACUCACAGAGUUAAAGAGUUCUGGUGACGUCUCUUUCCUGAGGCGUGGUUAGAAACACUUAAGGGAGGGGUUUGACUCCGUGUGUUUCAGUCUGACUUUCGGACGUGAUGCGAAAGGGAGAAUGUGUCAGUUCUCGCCAGGUCUGAAUUUAUGAUGUUAUUCUUCAUGAUUAAAAGGCAAGAGUAG